rnacentral:tRNA from 1 species
GUCCGGGGUGGCGGAAUGGCAGACGCGCUAGCUUGAGGUGCUAGUCCCCGAAAGGGGGUGGGGGUUCAAGUCCCCCCUCGGACACCA